CAGCGGCCAGCGUAAAACCAAGCGCCAGCUCGGAAAUGAGCGACAAACCCGAGAGCCAAGGAACAUGCACGGGAUUCGGAGAAAAUGAUAACUGGAGCCUGUGACUGAUUCAGUUUUGUCCUCUUUCUUUGUCUUAGAUGACAGGUUUCAAAUGUCCAUGGUGCGGGAGAGGGAAUUAUUUUUUGGGCAGAGCGCAUCCAGAGCCAAAGAGAGGCUCCCAUUAAAUCAGUGGCUGCACCAAACCGUUUCAAGUUUUAUCUGCGCGGAGUAAAAAAUUUACUCCCUCCCGGCCAAAGCGCCCAGAUGAUGUCUCUAGAGGUUCACCUGAAGACGGUGGCUCACCUUCGGGGAAAAGGUGACAGGAUCGCGAAAGUUACAUUCAGAGGUCUGCCACUCUACAGCCGUGUAGCAGAGAACUGUGAGGAGGUGGCUCACUUUAAUGAGACUUUUCGAUGGCCCAUUGGGAGCAGACUUGACGAAAAUGAGAUGUUGGAGAUCCAAGUGUACAAUUACAGCAAAGUCUUUUC